rnacentral:rRNA from 4 species
CAACUUUUAACAAUGGAUCUCUUGGUUCUGGCAUCGAUGAAGAACGCAGCGAAAUGCGAUAAGUAGUGUGAAUUGCAGAAUUCAGUGAAUCAUCGAAUCUUUGAACGCACAUUGCGCCCCUCGGUAUUCCGUGGGGCAUGCCUGUUCGAGCGUCAUUU